CCAUUGGUAGCUCAAUGGCAGAGUGUCAGAUUGUAGUUCUGCAAGUUGUUGGUUCAACCCAAUGGA